CAUAUCAAUAAGCGGAGGAAAAGAAACUAACAAGGAUUCCCCUAGUAACUGCGAGUGAAGCGGGAAAAGCUCAAAUUUAAAAUCUGUCAGUCUUUGGCUGUCCGAGUUGUAAUCUAGAGAAGUGUUAUCCGCGCUGGACCGUGUACAAGUCUCCUGGAAUGGAGCGUCAUAGAGGGUGAGAAUCCCGUCUUUGACACGGACUGCCAGGGCUUUGUGAUGCGCUCUCAAAGAGUCGAGUUGUUUGGGAAUGCAGCUCAAAAUGGGUGGUAAAUUCCAUCUAAAGCUAAAUAUUGGCGAGAGACCGAUAGCGAACAAGUACCGUGAGGGAAAGAUGAAAAGAACUUUGGAAAGAGAGUUAAACAGUACGUGAAAUUGCUGAAAGGGAAACGCUUGAAGUCAGUCGCGUUGGCCAGGGAUCAACCUUGCUCUUGCUUGGUGUACUUUCUGGUUGACGGGUCAGCAUCAAUUUCGACUGUUGGAAAAAGAUCAAGGGAAUGUGGCAUCUUUGGAUGUGUUAUAGCCCUUGAUUGUAUACAAUAGUUGGGAUUGAGGAACUCAGCACGCCGCAAGGCUUGGGUUUUAAUUUAAACCACAUACGUGCUUAGGAUGCUGGCAUAAUGGCUUUAAUCGACCCGUCUUGAAACACGGACCAAGGAGUCUAACAUGCCUGCGAGUGUUUGGGUGGAAAACCCGAGCGCGUAAUGAAAGUGAAAGUUGAGAUCCCUGUCAUGGGGAGCAUCGACGCCUGGACCAGACCUUUUGUGACGGUUCCACGGUAGAGCAUGUAUGUUGGGACCCGAAAGAUGGUGAACUAUGCCUGAAUAGGGUGAAGCCAGAGGAAACUCUGGUGGAGGCUCGUAGCGAUUCUGACGUGCAAAUCGAUCGUCAAAUUUGGGUAUAGGGGCGAAAGACUAAUCGAACCAUCUAGUAGCUGGGUUCCUGCC
rnacentral:rRNA from 1 species